rnacentral:rRNA from 1 species
GUCUACGGCCAUGCCACCCUGAACACAACCGAUCUCGUCUGAUCUUGGCAGCUAAGCAGUGUUGGGCCUGGUUAGUACUUGGAUGGGAGACCACCUAGGAAGACCAGGUGCUGUAGACA